AUUGAACGCUGGCGGCAGGCCUAACACAUGCAAGUCGAGCGGAUGACGGGAGCUUGCUCCUUGAUUCAGCGGCGGACGGGUGAGUAAUGCCUAGGAAUCUGCCUGGUAGUGGGGGACAACGUUUCGAAAGGAACGCUAAUACCGCAUACGUCCUACGGGAGAAAGCAGGGGACCUUCGGGCCUUGCGCUAUCAGAUGAGCCUAGGUCGGAUUAGCUAGUUGGUGGGGUAAUGGCUCACCAAGGCGACGAUCCGUAACUGGUCUGAGAGGAUGAUCAGUCACACUGGAACUGAGACACGGUCCAGACUCCUACGGGAGGCAGCAGUGGGGAAUAUUGGACAAUGGGCGAAAGCCUGAUCCAGCCAUGCCGCGUGUGUGAAGAAGGUCUUCGGAUUGUAAAGCACUUUAAGUUGGGAGGAAGGGCAGUAAGUUAAUACCUUGCUGUUUUGACGUUACCGACAGAAUAAGCACCGGCUAACUCUGUGCCAGCCGCCGCAGUAAUAC
rnacentral:rRNA from 1 species